CAGAGAACAUCGCCCUCACGGGUGACUCUCCAACCCUAUGUUAUUAAAACCUUUGUUGCUUUGGCGAGACGCUUCGGCCAUCGGCAUCUGCUGGUGUGUGCUCGCCAGAGGACCACAAAACUCUUGUAUAAUUAGGUCGUCUGAGUACUAUAUAAUAGUUA
rnacentral:misc_RNA from 1 species